rnacentral:rRNA from 1 species
GACGAACGCUGGCGGCGUGCUUAACACAUGCAAGUCGAACGGAAAGGCCCUUCUUUUGUGGGGUGCUCGAGUGGCGAACGGGUGAGUAACACGUGAGUAACCUGCCCUUCACUUUGGGAUAACUUCAGGAAACUGGUGCUACUACCGGAUAGGAGCUCCUGCUGCAUGGUGGGGGUUGGAAAGUUUCGGCGGUUGGGCAUGGACUCGCGGCGGAUCAGCUUGUUGGUGGGGUAGUGGCUUACCAAGGCUGUGACGGGCAGCCGGCCUGAGAGGGUGACCGGCCACAUUGGGACUGAGAAACGACACAGACUCCGACGGGAGGCAGCAGUGGGGAAUAUUGCACAAUGGGCGGAAGCCUGAUGCAGCAACGCCGCGUGCGGGAUGACGGCCUUCGGGUUGUAAACCGCUUUCGCCUGUGACGAAGCGUGAGUGACGGUAAUGGGUAAAGAAGCACCGGCUAACUACGUG